AGUGAACGCUGGCGGUAGGCCUAACACAUGCAAGUCGAACGGCAGCACAGUAAGAGCUUGCUCUUACGGGUGGCGAGUGGCGGACGGGUGAGGAAUACAUCGGAAUCUACUUUUUCGUGGGGGAUAACGUAGGGAAACUUACGCUAAUACCGCAUACGACCUACGGGUGAAAGCAGGGGAUCUUCGGGCCUUGCGCGAUUGAAUGAGCCGAUGUCGGAUUAGCUAGUUGGCGGGGUAAAGGCCCACCAAGGCGACGAUCCGUAGCUGGUCUGAGAGGAUGAUCAGCCACACUGGAACUGAGACACGGUCCAGUCUCCUACGGGAGGCAGCAGUGGGGAAUAUUGGACAAUGGGCGCAAGCCUGAUCCAGCCAUACCGCGUGGGUGAAGAAGGCCUUCGGGUUGUAAAGCCCUUUUGUUGGGAAAGAAAAGCAGCAGGUUAAUACCCCGCUGUUCUGACGGUACCCAAAGAAUAAGCACCGGCUAACUUCGUG
rnacentral:rRNA from 1 species